AUUGAACGCUGGCGGCAGGCCUAACACAUGCAAGUCGAGCGGAUGGAGGGAGCUUGCUCCUGGAUUCAGCGGCGGACGGGUGAGUAAUGCCUAGGAAUCUGCCUGGUAGUGGGGGAUAACGUCCGGAAACGGGCGCUAAUACCGCAUACGUCCUGAGGGAGAAAGUGGGGGAUCUUCGGACCUCACGCUAUCAGAUGAGCCUAGGUCGGAUUAGCUAGUUGGUGGGGUAAAGGCCUACCAAGGCGACGAUCCGUAACUGGUCUGAGAGGAUGAUCAGUCACACUGGAACUGAGACACGGUCCAGACUCCUACGGGAGGCAGCAGUGGGGAAUAUUGGACAAUGGGCGAAAGCCUGAUCCAGCCAUGCCGCGUGUGUGAAGAAGGUCUUCGGAUUGUAAGGCACUUUAAGUUGGGAGGAAGGGCAGUAAGUUAAUACCUUGCUGUUUUGACGUUACCAACAGAAUAAGCACCGGCUAACUUCGUG
rnacentral:rRNA from 1 species